GGUGAGCAACAGUGACUGGAGCAGAGAACGGCUAUGGCGCAUGCAGCCAGUGGUGUCAGCCUCACUGAGAUGAAGGCCUUGGACCCAUCAAACGCUGACUCCACCUACCGGAUGGUCGGAGAGUAAGGCAGCUGUGGGAUUUGUGGUCAGAGAACAGAUGUGGAGAAACAUAAAGUCAACAAACAAUAGGAGAAUGAGCAUCUUAAGGCAUAAAAGUAAAAACCAGAAGAACUGAGAAAAACAGCAAAAUUAACCGAACUUGGGCACAUAGGGGAAGGAGAGGAGAUGAGAGGAACUGGAAAUAUCCCAAUUUUGUCAUUGCCGAUAGUGAAAAAUGAGCAAGCAAUAAUGCAAAGAAAACACAGACCAUCUUGUGAAACAGAAUUUCAGAAGGAGCCAUAAAAACAAAGCACGACAUUAAAAUGCUGAUCAAAGGCAGGUCAAAUAUAUCUGCCAAAGGAAUUGAUUUAAAUGUGCUUAUUUUACAUAUUUUUUAAAAAAGGCAAUUAUCACACGGCUCACACAGUAACACCCAACUAUGUUUUGGAACUACAAGGGACAUGUUAAAACAAACUGACUCAGGAAGCUUGGAAAUGAAAAGCCAGGCCAGGGCUUUGCAAACACAUGGAAAAGAAACGGAAGCAUGGCCUCAAAACAGGUCGGAAGCUCCCUCAGUCUACCAUUUUUUGUUCCAUGAAGUCAGCGAAUUAAAAUAUCCUACAUAGUUCUUUCAUGAGAUAUUCGUUUUCCACUCUAUCAUUUGUCAAACUUGCUUUGGAAGAGAGCUGAGCACAGGGCAUCUAAAUUGAGGAUCCUGGUCUUCCCAUGAUUUCCCCGUUAUGCGUGUUGAGUGAUCCCUGUCCAGCAGGGGGCACACUUGGACUUUGAUUGCCAACCUGCCUCCCGUUGAACAAGACGCAGUGUUGAGAAACCUCUGGCUAACCUCUGGCUAGAGAGAGUUCUGUUUCAUGGGUCAGUGCAUCUAUUUUCCCAGGAAAUACAAAAUCAAGUCUCUACAAUAGAAGGGCAAGUAUAGAAACUGAGUGUUGCAGACCUAGAGUAAGAAAAACAAUAGGGCCAGUACAAUGACAAAAUAGAGCCGGCAGUUCCCGCUCAGCCCCAGCUGACUGCUGUCAUGUGGGAAGGCCAGAUCUGCAAGUUUUUCAAGAGUUAGACAUUUAGGUCAUUGUGAGCUAUCUCCACAUGUUGACUUGUAACCAAUGAAUUAAAAAUGUGUUAAAAACCUGAAUGUAAAGUAAAUAC